rnacentral:misc_RNA from 1 species
UUAAGUUCAGCGGGUAGUCCUACCUGAUUUGAGGUCAAAUUUGAUAUAAAGUUGUCCAAAGACCAUUGUAAGCGGACCUUUGAGCCUCGGACGACAGCGCAACAUCAUUAUCACACUAGACAUCCAGAAGCCAAAAAGAUUGAAUUCCGCUGAUGCAUUUCAGAGGAGCCGAACCUUCGCCAGCAACACUCCAAGUCCAA